rnacentral:lncRNA from 1 species
GCUCCGUAUGCGAAAUCUAACCAAUCGGGUCUCCUUCUUCCCAUCUAGGGAAGUCCACCCUUAUGCGUGGAUAGUUGAGAUCGAUCAUAGAACCUCCCCUCUUUUGGAAGUCAUAUCUUUGGGCUUGGUGCGAUUGGGCAGAGCUCUCUCCUUGAUGUGAUUUCUUCGGGCUUAGUGGUCGGCCCAAUCUGAGUUCAGUAAAGAGUGUUCGAA